UACAGGGGGGGCAAGCGUUGUUCGGAAUUACUGGGCGUAAAGGGUCUGUAGGUGGCCAACUAAGUCAGACGUGAAAUCCCUCAGCUUAACUGGGGAACUGCGUCUGAUACUGGAUGGCUUGAGUGUGGGAGAGGAAUGCGGAAUUCCAGGUGUAGCGGUGAAAUGCGUAGAUAUCUGGAGGAACACCGGUGGCGAAGGCGGGUCUCUGGGCCGAUACUGACGCUGAGGAGCGAAAGCGUGGGGAGCGAACAGG
rnacentral:rRNA from 1 species